UACGGAGGGGGCUAGCGUUGUUCGGAAUUACUGGGCGUAAAGCGUGCGCAGGCGGUUUGCUAAGACAGGUGUGAAAUCCCCGGGCUCAACCUGGGAACUGCGCUUGUAACUGGCAAGCUAGAGUGUGGCAGAGGGGGGUGGAAUUCCAGGUGUAGCAGUGAAAUGCGUAGAGAUCUGGAGGAACACCGGUGGCGAAGGCAGCCCCCUGGGCUAACACUGACGCUCAUGCACGAAAGCGUGGGGAGCAAACAGG
rnacentral:rRNA from 1 species